UACGGGGGGAGCAAGCGUUGUUCGGAUUUACUGGGCGUAAAGGGCGCGUAGGCGGCCUGCUAAGUCGAACGUGAAAUCCCCGGGCUCAACCCGGGAACUGCGUCCGAUACUGGCAGGCUUGAAUUCGGGAGAGGGAUGCGGAAUUCCAGGUGUAGCGGUGAAAUGCGUAGAUAUCUGGAGGAACACCGGUGGCGAAGGCGGCAUCCUGGACCGAAAUUGACGCUGAGGCGCGAAAGCCAGGGGAGCAAACGGG
rnacentral:rRNA from 1 species